CCUACGGGAGGCAGCAGUGGGGAAUAUUGCGCAAUGGGCGAAAGCCUGACGCAGCGACGCCGCGUGAGGGAUGAAGGUCUUCGGAUCGUAAACCUCUGUCAGCAGGGAAGCACGGUCACUGUGCUAAUCAGCAGUGCAUUGACGGUACCUGCAAAGGAAGCACCGGCUAACUCCGUGCCAGCAGCCGCGGGAAUACGGAGGGUGCGAGCGUUAAUCGGAAUUACUGGGCGUAAAGCGCUCGUAGGCGGUAUGUCAAGUCAAGGGUGAAAUCCCCGCGCUCAACGUGGGAACUGCCUUUGAAACUGGCAAACUGGAGUGUGUGAGAGGAUAGUGGAAUGCCAGGUGUAGGAGUGAAAUCCGUAGAUAUCUGGAGGAACAUCAGUGGCGAAGGCGACUAUCUGGCACAUGACUGACGCUGAGGAGCGAAAGCGUGGGUAGCAAACAGGAUUAGAUACCCGAGUAGUC
rnacentral:rRNA from 1 species